CCUACGGGUGGCAGCAGUAGGGAAUCUUCCACAAUGGACGAAAGUCUGAUGGAGCAACGCCGCGUGAGUGAAGAAGGUUUUCGGCUCGUAAAGCUCUGUUGGUAGUGAAGAAAGAUAGAGGUAGUAACUGGCCUUUAUUUGACGGUAAUUACUUAGACAGUCACGGCUAACUACGUGCCAGCGGCCGCGGUAAUACGUAGGUGGCAAGCGUUGUCCGGUUUUAUUGGGCGGAAAGCGAGUGCAGGCGGUUCAAUAAGUCUGAUGUGAAAGGCUUCGGCCCAACCGGAGGAUUGCACCAGAAACUGUAGAACUGGAGUGCAGAAGAGGGGAGUGGAAAUCCAGGUGUAGCGGUGGAAUGCGUAGAUAUAUGGAAGAACACCAGUGGCGAAGGCGGCUCUCUGGGCUGCAACUGACGCUGAGGCUCGAAAGCAUGGGUAGCGAACAGGAUUAGAUACCCCUGUAGUC
rnacentral:rRNA from 1 species